GCUCUUUUGAACAUUCCACUCCACAUCCUCCCAAUGACUUUUCUUCUUUCUCUUUGUUGUCUCUCACUUACAAUUCUCAAUUUUCCUUUGCAUUCUGCGAAAACCCAUUUGUUGCCCAUAGUUUUAAAAAAACAUAACCAAAAACCAUCACUUCUUCCCUGCAAACUCUUUGCUCGAAAAACCAACCUCGCAUAACAUAUAUAUUUAUCACACCCAUAACCCCUCAAAACCUACGCGUAAUUAACUCUCUCAUUGGUAUCUUAAAUCCCACUUUGUAAAAUUUCCAUCUUUUUGACGUUUAUACGUUUGUAUUGUUACAUGGAAGCUGCGAAUCAAAUGGGCUCUGCUGCUCAUCCCAGCUCCACACCGCCUCCUGUCCCAGGGAGCGCAUGCACGGGGACUUUGGGGCGCCAUUUGGCUCGGCGACUGGUGGAGAUUGGCGUCAGUGAUGUUUUCUCAGUCCCCGGCGACUUUAACUUGACACUUCUGGAUCAUCUGAUUGCAGAGCCUGGGCUGAACGUGAUCGGCUGCUGUAACGAGCUUAACGCUGGAUACGCAGCCGAUGGGUAUGCACGUUCCAGAGGCGUGGGGGCUUGCGUGGUGACUUUCACUGUGGGCGGUCUCAGUGUGAUUAAUGCUAUUGCUGGUGCUUAUAGUGAGAAUUUGCCGCUAAUUUGUAUUGUCGGUGGCCCCAAUUCUAAUGAUUAUGGGACUAACCGGAU
rnacentral:misc_RNA from 1 species